CAGUCGCCACGGUAAUACGGAGGGUGCAAGCGUUAUCCGGAUUUAUUGGGUUUAAAGGGUCCGUAGGCGGAUCUGUAAGUCAGUGGUGAAAUCUCACAGCUUAACUGUGAAACUGCCAUUGAUACUGCAGGUCUUGAGUAAAUUUGAAGUGGCUGGAAUAAGUAGUGUAGCGGUGAAAUGCAUAGAUAUUACUUAGAACACCAAUUGCGAAGGCGGGUCACUAAGAUUUAACUGACGCUGAUGGACGAAAGCGUGGGGAGCGAACAGGAUUAGAUACCCCAGUAGUCCCUGUCUCUUAUAA
rnacentral:rRNA from 1 species